GGGGACGCGAGCUGGCCCUUUAAAACGGAGCGUACCACUUCGACGGGAGGGGUGGCUGGAUUGUACUCGCGGGGCAAAUGGGAGCAGAGCAAGCUACUCGCCACAACCAAACGAAGGUACCAUGGGAUCCUUUACCCACCCUGAUGUGAAGAGCCGGUGGGCUGUGUAUGAGUUUGGUCGUCUCUAGUUAGGACACCCCCAGUCAUACGAUGCUACCAAUGCAAGGAGGGUGAAGGCUAGCACAGGCUUCCUCCGAGACCUAUGGAACCAGCCGCUCAUGCAACGUCAUUGGACAGCCAAACACGCUCAGAGGAAAGCACCAAC